rnacentral:rRNA from 1 species
CCUACGGGUGGCAGCAGUGGGGAAUAUUGGGCAAUGGGCGCAAGCCUGACCCAGCAACGCCGCGUGAAGGAAGAAGGCUUUCGGGUUGUAAACUUCUUUUCUCAGGGACGAAGCAAGUGACGGUACCUGCGGAAUAAGCCACGGCUAACGACGUGCCAGCAGCCGCGGUAAUACGUAGGUGGCAAGCGUUAUCCGGAUUUACUGGGUGUAAAGGGCGGGUAGGCGGGAAAGCAAGUCAGAUGUGAAAACCACGGGCUCAACCUGUGGCCUGCAUUUGAAACUGGUUUUCUUGAGUACUGGAGAGGCAGGCGGAAUUCCUGGUGUAGCGGUGAAAUGCGUAGAGAUGAGGAGGAACACCGGUGGCGAAGGCGGUCUGCUGGACAGCAACUGACGCUGAGGCGCGAAAGCGUGGGGAGCAAACAGGAUUAGAUACCCGAGUAGUC